rnacentral:misc_RNA from 1 species
AAGUCGUAACAAGGUUUCCGUAGGUGAACCUGCGGAAGGAUCAUUAUCAAUGGACCCUAAACAACACCGUGCACAGGGCGCAUUAUCUUAAUCGCCCAAAUAACUACUUAAUAACAGCAACAGAGUCAUUUUAUAGACAACUUUUAGCAACGGAUCUCUAGGUUCUC